rnacentral:misc_RNA from 1 species
UUUUUUUUUUUUUUAAAUGAAACCUUCUAAAAUAUAAGCACAUCAUCACAAAAGUAGCAAAUCCCCUUCGAGCUACUAAUUAUUGUUGCUAUAUCCAUAAGGGACUUGAUUUUUAUUAAGCUAAUAUUAUGAAGACAAAGAACAUAUGCUUCAUGGCUGAGGAAAGGAGAAAAAUAUACAAAUCAGACCCAAAAUGCAACUUCCAAGUUCCAAGUGUGCGGGUGUACUAGCCUACAGCCUCACCUCACUCAGGUAAAUUGGCCAUCAAUCAAAACAAAGGAAGACUCAAUCUUCCAGGGACUUUCUUUUGAUAAUUUGACUUUCAAAAAUUAUUUCUAUAAUUUAUGUAAUGAUCAAAGUCACAAGCACAGUUUAGAGGCCAAGCUCAACCAGUAGGAUCUUCAAGCCUCAUCAACAAUGAUUGUAUUGCAUGCUAGGAUAAUUAUACACUUGAAUCAUCAUAGCAUCCAAUGAUAUGUGCUGUCAAAGCACAACUGUAUAAAUUUUCUGAGGGUGGUUCCCAACCCAAUUGUGAAAUUUCAAAGACCCAGAGGAGACCAUCAUGCAAGGAAUUAGUUCAAAAUCAAUUAUAGACUAGUCAAGCUACAUUAAAUAGCCUAGUUGCAGAUCUAAAAAAAAAUUUUCCAGGGUCAAUAAGCAAAUUAUAUAACAUAUUUGGUGCACUAAAAAAUAAUACACUUAAUACUCAUAUAAAAGCAAUUGAGUUUUAAAUUUAGGAAGAUAAAAUCCAUUCCUUUUGUGGAUAAAGAUGAACUUAUACCAUAAGCAUACAAUAGUUUGCUCAAUAUACGGGGGUAUUGAUUUUCUAUUAAUAAAAAUAUGUUCUCCAUUUAAAAAAGAGGGUUAAAUACUUAAAUUAAUGAAGGAUCAAUUUAAACAAAUAUAUAAAUGCAUAAGAGUACUUUAUGAAAAAAAAGGGGUCAACUGAUCCCUCUUUUCUUGCAGUGGAUCCGCCACUGCUAGUCUUCCAUUUGACCAAUUUCAUUCCCAUCCCAAAAACAAUAUAUCAAACUCAAUUUAAGAAAUUUUGUAAUUCUAUCAUACAAAAUUUCCUUCUCUAACAUAGAUGGAGAAAACAACGUACAAAGAGCGACAAUAGGGGCAUAAUCAAGAAGAGGUAACCAAAAUCACAUGCUGUUAGCUUAGUGAACUGCAUCAACCAUGUGUACCAUUGUUUGCCAAAACGUAGAUUUACUCAAUUGGACCAAAAGCAUCAAUAAAUGGAAAGUGCACAAAGAGUAGAGACAUUUUAGAAUAAAAAAGGUUCAUGAUCCUCAAGGGUAGGUUCUGACUAUCCAAGUAAUUCUCAAGUCUUAUGCAAUCAACUCAGACCUAUAAGUUUCCUAUAAAGCUAUGCUGCCACGCCAUUUGGUUACGGUUGUCCAAGUGUUCUUUUGCACUAAACUUAGAAAAUUUGUAUUAUAUCAUAUCUUUUCAAUCAAAAUCUCAUUUUCGUCCCCAUCAUUCUAAACUGCACAAGUCACAUCCAAUUCCAAUGUUUCAGGGAAAAUUUAUAUACUAGCAUCAAAUCGUGCCAAUGAAUGAAUAAAUAUAUGAAAAGGCAACAGUAUACCAAAAUGUCAAGCUGAUACAACUAAGUACCAAUGUCCAGAGGAGCUAAAACAAACACAAAUCAAAAAACAAAAGCUUACAUCUAUA